rnacentral:rRNA from 1 species
UACAGAGGUCCCGAGCGUUGUUCGGAUUCAUUGGGCGUAAAGGGUGCGUAGGUGGCGCCGUAAGUCGGGUGUGAAAUUUCGGAGCUUAACUCCGAAACUGCAUUCGAUACUGCGGUGCUUGAGGACUGGAGAGGAGACUGGAAUUUACGGUGUAGCGGUGAAAUGCGUAGAUAUCGUAAGGAAGACCAGUGGCGAAGGCGGGUCGUCUGGACAGUUCCUGACGCUGAGGCACGAAGGCCAGGGGAGCAAACGGG